ACUCCUACGGGAGGCAGCAGUGGGGAAUUUUGGACAAUGGGGGCAACCCUGAUCCAGCAAUGCCGCGUGAGUGAAGAAGGCCUUCGGGUUGUAAAGCUCUUUUGUCAGGGAAGAAACGGUGAAGGUCAAUACCCUUUGCUAAUGACGGUACCUGAAGAAUAAGCACCGGCUAACUACGUGCCAGCAGCCGCGGUAAUACGUAGGGUGCAAGCGUUAAUCGGAAUUACUGGGCGUAAAGCGUGCGCAGGCGGUUAUGUAAGACAGAUGUGAAAUGCCCGGGCUYAACCUGGGAACUGCAUUUGUGAYUGCAUGGCUAGAGUGUGUCAGAGGGGGGUAGAAUUCCACGUGUAGCAGUGAAAUGCGUAGAUAUGUGGAGGAAUACCGAUGGCGAAGGCAGCCCCCUGGGAUAACACUGACGCUCAUGCACGAAAGCGUGGGGAGCAAACAGGAUUAGAUACCCUGGUAGUCCACGCCCUAAACGAUGUCUACUAGUUGUYGGGUCUUAAUUGACUUGGUAACGCAGCUAACGCGUGAAGUAGACCGCCUGGGGAGUACGGUCGCAAGAUUAAAACUCAAAUGAAUUGACGG
rnacentral:rRNA from 1 species